GUGCUCUCUUCAGCAGUGCACAUACUAAAAUUGGAACAAUACAGAGAAGAUUAGCCUCAUCUCUGCUCAAGGAUGACAUGCAAAUUUGUGAAGCAUUCCAUCUUUUU
ensembl:snRNA U6 U6 spliceosomal RNA